rnacentral:sRNA from 1 species
UCUGAUAUUAAUUGAAGGUCUGGAUAUA